AAUUCGCCCUUAGAGUUUGAUCCUGGCUCAGAUUGAACGCUAGCGGCAUGCUUAACACAUGCAAGUCGAACGGCAGCGCGGGAGAGCUUGCUCUCCUGGCGGCGAGUGGCGGACGGGUGAGUAAUGCAUGAGAAUCUGCCCAGUAGUGGGGGACAACCUGGUGAAAACCAGGCUAAUACCGCAUACGCCCUACGGGGGAAAGGCUUCGGCCGCUAUUGGAUGAGCUCAUGUCGGAUUAGCUAGUUGGUGGGGUAAAGGCCUACCAAGGCGACGAUCCGUAGCUGGUCUGAGAGGAUGAUCAGCCACACUGGGACUGAGACACGGCCCAGACUCCUACGGGAGGCAGCAGUGGGGAAUAUUGGACAAUGGGCGCAAGCCUGAUCCAGCAAUGCCGCGUGUGUGAAGAAGGCCUUCGGGUUGUAAAGCACUUUCAGCAGGGAGGAUAGUGACGUACCUGCAG
rnacentral:rRNA from 1 species